rnacentral:rRNA from 1 species
CCUACGGGUAGCAGCAGUGAGGAAUAUUGGUCAAUGGGCGCGAGCCUGAACCAGCCAAGUCGCGUGAGGGAAGACGGCCCUAAGGGUUGUAAACCUCUUUUGCCGGGGAGCAACGGGCGCCACGUGUGGCGCCACUGAGAGUACCCGGCGAAAAAGCAUCGGCUAACUCCGGGCCAGCAGCCGCGGUAGUCGGGAGGAUUUGAGCGUUAUCCGGAUUUAUUGGGUUUAAAGGGUGCGUAGGCGGAGCGUUAAGUCAGUGGUCAAAUUGAGGGGCUCAACCCCUGCCCGCCAUUGAAACUGGCGCUCUUGAGUGGAAGAGAAGUAUGCGGAAUGCGUGGUGUAGCGGUGAAAUGCAUAGAUAUCACGCAGAACCCCGAUUGCGAAGGCAGCAUGCCGGCUUCCUACUGACGCUGAAGCACGAAAGCGUGGGGAUCGAACAGGAUUAGAUACCCCAGUAGUC